rnacentral:lncRNA from 1 species
GCCUCGAACUCAGAGAUCCACCGACCAUUGCCUCUCGAGUGCUGGGAUCACAGGCAUGUGCCACCCCUGCCCCGCAGUGACUGAGCUGAUUUGUAAAGCCACUCUCACAUCAGGAAUGACAGCUGCAAGGUCGGAGUGUGAGAAGUGACAAGCUGACUGUGGCAUUGCACACUGGAUCCAAAGAGAAGGUUGUAAAAGAGCUGGGUUGGUCCUGUCAGCCCCGUCAAAGUCCCCAAUUCUUCAGAAGGUGGCUUAACACACGGGACCUGGGGGUGCUGUUGAGGGAGCAGGGGAGCCAAGUCCUGAGCUCACCGCACUCGGAUGACGCAAAGACCAUAGCUCCUUCCAGAACAUCCCAAGGCCCUGCCCUACUGUGAAGUUAGGGUCAGUCUUACCUCUCUGGGUUUGGGUUUGGUUUUGGUUUUUUCUUCAAGACAGGAUUUCUCCAUGUAGCCCUGACUCUCCUGGACCAGGCUGUCCUUGAACUCAAGAGAUCCACCUGCCUCUACCUCUUGAGUGCUAGGACUAAAGGCAUGCGCUACCACACCUAGCCUGAAGUACCUUUCUGUCUUGAAGGUAGCCCCCCCUGCAUCCCAGUUUUGGACUUUAAUCCCAACACUGAGACACGGGAGAGGCAGGUGGAUCUCUGAGAG